GUGCGGCGGCUAAUACAUGCAAGUCGAGCGGACAGAUGGGAGCUUGCUCCCUGAUGUUAGCGGCGGACGGGUGAGUAACACGUGGGUAACCUGCCUGUAAGACUGGGAUAACUCCGGGAAACCGGGGCUAAUACCGGAUGGUUGUUUGAACCGCAUGGUUCAAACAUAAAAGGUGGCUUCGGCUACCACUUACAGAUGGACCCGCGGCGCAUUAGCUAGUUGGUGAGGUAACGGCUCACCAAGGCAACGAUGCGUAGCCGACCUGAGAGGGUGAUCGGCCACACUGGGACUGAGACACGGCCCAGACUCCUACGGUAGGCAGCAGUAUGGAACCUUCCGCAAUGGACAAAAGUCUGACGGAGCAACGCCGCGUGAGUGAUGAAUGUCUUCGGAUCGUAGUGCUUUUGUUGUUAGGG
rnacentral:rRNA from 1 species